rnacentral:rRNA from 1 species
GACGAACCGUGCGAACGUUGUUCGGAAUCACUGGGCUUAAAGCGUGUGUAGGCGGGCCGUUAAGUAUCUUGUGAAAUCCCCCGGCUCAACCGGGGAAUGGCUGGAUAUACUGGCGGUCUUGAGCGAUCUAGGGGCAGAUGGAACAGACGGUGGAGCGGUGAAAUGCGUAGAUAUCGUCUGGAACGCCAAAGGUGAAGACAGUCUGCUGGGGAUCUGCUGACGCUGAGACACGAAAGCCAGGGGAGCGAACGGG